GAUGAACGCUGGCGGCGUGCCUAAUACAUGCAAGUCGAGCGAACGGACGAGAAGCUCGCUUCUCUGAUGUUAGCGGCGGACGGGUGAGUAACACGUGGAUAACCUACCUAUAAGACUGGGAUAACUUCGGGAAACCGGAGCUAAUACCGGAUAAUAUUUUGAACCGCAUGGUUCAAAAGUGAAAGACGGUCUUGCUGUCACUUAUAGAUGGAUCCGCGCUGCAUUAGAUAGUUGGUAAGGUAACGGCUUACCAAGGCAACGAUGCAUAGCCGACCUGAGAGGGUGAUCGGCCACACUGGAACUGAGACACGGUCCAGACUCCUACGGGAGGCAGCAGUAGGGAAUCUUCCGCAAUGGGCGAAAGCCUGACGGAGCAACGCCGCGUGAGUGAUGAAGGUCUUCGGAUCGUAAAACUCUGUUAUUAGGGAAGAACAUAUGUGUAAGUAACUGUGCACAUCUUGACGGUACCUAAUCAGAAAGCCACGGCUAACUACGUG
rnacentral:rRNA from 1 species